AAAUUGAAGAGUUUGAUCAUGGCUCAGAUUGAACGCUGGCGGCAGGCCUAACACAUGCAAGUCGAACGGUAACAGGAAACAGCUUGCUGUUUCGCUGACGAGUGGCGGACGGGUGAGUAAUGUCUGGGAAACUGCCUGAUGGAGGGGGAUAACUACUGGAAACGGUAGCUAAUACCGCAUAAUGUCGCAAGACCAAAGAGGGGGACCUUCGGGCCUCUUGCCAUCGGAUGUGCCCAGAUGGGAUUAGCUUGUUGGUGGGGUAACGGCUCACCAAGGCGACGAUCCCUAGCUGGUCUGAGAGGAUGACCAGCCACACUGGAACUGAGACACGGUCCAGACUCCUACGGGAGGCAGCAGUGGGGAAUAUUGCACAAUGGGCGCAAGCCUGAUGCAGCCAUGCCGCGUGUAUGAAGAAGGCCUUCGGGUUGUAAAGUACUUUCAGCGGGGAGGAAGGGAGUAAAGUUAAUAUCUUUGCUCAUUGACGUUACCCGCAGAAGAAGCACCGGCUAACUCCGUGCCAGCAGCCGCGGUAAUACGGAGGGUGCAAGCGUUAAUCGGAAUUACUGGGCGUAAAGCGCACGCAGGCGGUUUGUUAAGUCAGAUGUGAAAUCCCCGGGCUCAACCUGGGAACUGCAUCUGAUACUGGCAAGCUUGAGUCUCGUAGAGGGGGGUAGAAUUCCAGGUGUAGCGGUGAAAUGCGUAGAGAUCUGGAGGAAUACCGGUGGCGAAGGCGGCCCCCUGGACGAAGACUGACGCUCAGGUGCGAAAGCGUGGGGAGCAAACAGGAUUAGAUACCCUGGUAGUCCACGCCGUAAACGAUGUCGACUUGGAGGUUGUGCCCUUGAGGCGUGGCUUCCGGAGCUAACGCGUUAAGUCGACCGCCUGGGGAGUACGGCCGCAAGGUUAAAACUCAAAUGAAUUGACGGGGGCCCGCACAAGCGGUGGAGCAUGUGGUUUAAUUCGAUGCAACGCGAAGAACCUUACCUGGUCUUGACAUCCACGGAAGUUUUCAGAGAUGAGAAUGUGCCUUCGGGAACCGUGAGACAGGUGCUGCAUGGCUGUCGUCAGCUCGUGUUGUGAAAUGUUGGGUUAAGUCCCGCAACGAGCGCAACCCUUAUCCUUUGUUGCCAGCGGUCCGGCCGGGAACUCAAAGGAGACUGCCAGUGAUAAACUGGAGGAAGGUGGGGAUGACGUCAAGUCAUCAUGGCCCUUACGACCAGGGCUACACACGUGCUACAAUGGCGCAUACAAAGAGAAGCGACCUCGCGAGAGCAAGCGGACCUCAUAAAGUGCGUCGUAGUCCGGAUUGGAGUCUGCAACUCGACUCCAUGAAGUCGGAAUCGCUAGUAAUCGUGGAUCAGAAUGCCACGGUGAAUACGUUCCCGGGCCUUGUACACACCGCCCGUCACACCAUGGGAGUGGGUUGCAAAAGAAGUAGGUAGCUUAACCUUCGGGAGGGCGCUUACCACUUUGUGAUUCAUGACUGGGGUGAAGUCGUAACAAGGUAACCGUAGGGGAACCUGCGGUUGGAUCACCUCCUUACCUUAAAGAA
rnacentral:rRNA from 1 species